rnacentral:tRNA from 1 species
CUCUCGGUGGCCAAGCUGGCUAAGGCGCGAGACUGUAAUGUGAUUGUAAUCUUGAGAUCGGGUGUUCGACUCACCCCCGGGAGAC